GUGAACCUGCAGAUGGAUCAUCGUCGAUACCUUAUAGGUACAUGCUGAUCACGAGAUGCCGAUAAUCAUGGAAUCAGGCUUGUUCUUGGUUCCAGUCGGUGUCUCACCCCAUCUAAGCUCUCGGUGAGGCGUCUAUUCUUGAUUGGAGCCGCUUUGAGUGACGGCAAUGAUAGUUGGGGUAUGUUCCCCGUGAGGGUAGAGCAUAGACUUUAUGAACAGAGCUGGGCUGUCGCCUCACCAAAAACCAUCGAUAGCUGGUGGCUGAGUGAGAAAUCACUGGAUCUGCUAUGCAGGGAGCCUUAAUGAGUUGGUCUUCACCGACACAACCGCCACUAUCGGUAAUCUAUUCCCAAUUAACUUGUUUCUAGUAAAAGGCUAAAUUAGUCAGUGGAAAAUAGCCUUAGCGAUGGAUCGGUUGAUUCGCGUAUCGAUGAAAAACGCAGCUAGCUGCGUUAUUUACCACGAAUUGCAGACGCUUAGAGUGGUGAAGUUUUGAACGCACAGCGCCGUUGGGUUUUCCCUUCGGCACGUCUGGCUCAGGGUUGUUUAAUAGACUUCGAUAUUGCUAGGAAGGCAGCAAUAUCGUGCACCGAACGGUGAUAGUGUCUAUAAAAUAGUGGUGCAUACCCCGUUUUAGGGUAAAAUAAAGGUCGUAAACUGAAACUUCUUCCGCCCGAGAAGUUAUAGGUAAUACUUAUGGAUGUGCCAUGUAUGAAAUAUGACGUGGUUAUAUACAUAAAUAGUGUUUCCUUGAAGUCUCAUUAUGCAACCUGAGCUCAGUCGUGAUUACCCGCUGAACUUAAGCAUAU
rnacentral:rRNA from 1 species